rnacentral:SRP_RNA from 1 species
GUGUGCUAUGCGGGGAAUUAGCGGUGUCCUGUAACCCUCAAUCCGCUAUAGUGGGGCAGAAUGCCUGCAUGAGAAUGCUGAUUUUUCUGGCGAGUUUGAUAAGCGAUGUUGAGAGUCAAGCCCAACGCAAUUGUGAGCCGAGAAUCGUGUCAGAUCUGGAAGGAAGCAGCACUAAUUGGAAUUUGCGAUGUGCCGUUGGUCUACUUGAUUUGAGUUGGCUGUCAAUUUUCGUUUGAAAAUAGGUGUCAAAUGCAGGUGCACAC